UACGGGGGGAGCAAGCGUUGUUCGGAUUUACUGGGCGUAAAGGGCGCGUAGGCGGCCAGCACAAGUCGGUUGUGAAAUCUCCGGGCUUAACUCGGAAAGGUCAACCGAUACUGUGCGGCUAGAGUGCGGAAGGGGCAACUGGAAUUCUCGGUGUAGCGGUGAAAUGCGUAGAUAUCGAGAGGAACACCUGUGGCGAAAGCGGCGCACUGGACCACAACUGACGCUGAGGCGCGAAAGCUAGGGGAGCAAACAGG
rnacentral:rRNA from 1 species